AUUGAACGCUGGCGGCAUGCCUUACACAUGCAAGUCGAACGGCAGCACGGGUGCUUGCACCUGGUGGCGAGUGGCGAACGGGUGAGUAAUACAUCGGAACGUACCUUAUCGUGGGGGAUAACGCAGCGAAAGCUGUGCUAAUACCGCAUACGCCCUGAGGGGGAAAGCGGGGGAUCGCAAGACCUCGCGCGAUUAGAGCGGCCGAUGCCUGAUUAGCUAGUUGGUGGGGUAAAAGCCCACCAAGGCGACGAUCAGUAGCUGGUCUGAGAGGACGACCAGCCACACUGGGACUGAGACACGGCCCCGACUCCUACGGGAGGCAGCAGUGGGGAAUUUUGGACAAUGGGGGCAACCCUGAUCCAGCAAUGCCGCGUGAGUGAAGAAGGCCUUCGGGUUGUAAAGCUCUUUUGUCAGGGAAGAAACACCGGCUCUAACACAGUCCGGGAAUGACGGUACCUGAAGAAUAAGCACCGGCUAACUACGUGCCAGCAGCCGCCGUAA
rnacentral:rRNA from 1 species